UACGGAGGGGGCUAGCGUUGUUCGGAAUUACUAGGGCGUAAAGCGCACGUAGGCGGCUUUGUAAGUUAGAGGUGAAAGCCCGGGGCUCAACUCCGGAAUUGCCUUUAAGACUGCAUCGCUAGAAUUGUGGAGAGGUGAGUGGAAUUCCGAGUGUAGAGGUGAAAGUUCGUAGAUAUUCGGGAGGAACACCAGUGGCGAAA
rnacentral:rRNA from 1 species